AAACAGCCCAGGCUGGAGUGCAGUGGUAGGAUUAUGGCUCACUGCAGCCUCGACAUCCUGGACUUAAGUGAUCCUCUCAUCACAACCUCUGGAAUAGCUGCAACUACAGAAGGUUACCUGGAGACUUUGGCAAGAGCCACAGCAGUUCCUAAAAGGAAAAGAAACCUCAAAGGAGAAUGUUAAUCUCCCCGAUCAGUACCCAGGAAAGGCCAUAACAAGACACAGCCAGAAGACAGCUAUCUGCAAGCCAGGAAGCGCCCUCACCAAACAGACACGGACCCUGCUAGCACCUUGCUCUUGGGCAUUCAGCCUCCAGAAUUGGGAGACGAUCAAUUCCUGCUGUGAAGGUAUUUUAUUAAGGCAGCCAAAGCUGACUGAGAUACUUCCCCGAUCACUGUGAUGUCCAGUGCCGAGGGCCUAUGCUUUGAAAAUCAAUAUUCUAGUCUUAGGCCAAAACUCUCCUCCCUGCUUCCCCAGCCACUCCUUGAGCUUUCUUCUUCCUCAUGGCCCUCUCGGCCAUCUGGACAGGCUUCUUCCUGGAUACAAGUCACAUGAAUGUCACUGACCUGUGACUUUGUCUUUGUUUCCUGAGUGCAUCACACAGUACAUGGCCUACGGCAGGCAUUCAGAAAAUAUUGAUUUCAUGAAUGAAUAGGUGAAUGAAUGAGUGAGCAAAUGAAUGAAUUUAUAUCACAUAGAAUAAUUAACUUCCCUUUUAGUAUCUCCCUAAUCCUUCCAACUCUAACUUGAGGAAGCUAUGACUUGCUUUCAAGAUCAUUUUCCAGGCCUGGCGCGGUGGCUCACGCCUGUAAUCCCAGCACUUUGGGAGGCUGAGGCAGGUGGAUCACCUGAAGUCAGGAGUUCAAGACCAGCCUUGCCAACAUGGUGAAACCCUGUCUCUACUUAAAAUACAAAAAUUUGGCAGGCUUGGUGGCCGGCGCCUGUAAUCCCAGCUACUUGGGAGGCUGAGGCAGGAGAAUUGCUUGGACCCACAAGGCGGAGGUUGCAGUGAGCUGAGAUCACACCACUGCACUCCAGCCUGGGCAACAAGAGCAAAACUCUGUCUGAAAAAUGAAUAAAUAAAUAAAUAAUAGGAUUAUUUUGCAUCCAUUCUAUUGUUUUGUGGGAAUCUUUCACAGUCAUUGCCUGGGAAUCCAGUGAUGAAAAGUGGCCCACAAAUACAAUCUAAUGGAGGCCCUCAGGUUAUUCACUAAAGCUCAGAGAAGAUCAUUUUCCAAUCAGAGACAUCCACAAGUGGAAUGGUGCUAGAAUCUUCCCUCCCCUGCAGGAAAGCCCUGGUCAGCCAGGUCAGAUGUGGGCAGAUGGUUUGCUCUUCUCCACCGAGUACUGAGUGAAGCCUUGGGCUGGAAAUCCAGGUAGGGAGGUUAAGGACAAAUUUGGAAUUAAAACACAAUAAGCCCCUUCAUUCCUUCCCCAUUCACAUCCUCCAUUCUUAAGGCUGGGAAAAAAAAAAAAAAAAAAGACCCCUUACUUCCUCAUGCAAGACUGCCCCCAGGCUUAAUCAGAGCCUUAACUGCUGUCUUUGGCUGUGUUGUAAGCACAGUGACAAUGAUCAGGUUAGGUGUUUAGAACAGUAUGAUGUCAGUCGGGCUUGUGAUGAAAGAGUCGCUGACAGACAGUGCAAGCCAACACCAUGAGAACAGCUCAGGCUAUGAGGUCAUUCAGUCCAACAGGUAGGCAGGUUUGUUUUCUUAGCCCUGACAUUCGAUGCCCUGCCGGUUAUUGAAUAACCAGAAAUGAGGCGACUCCUACAAAUUCCUGGAUCUCCAUGGGGAUGGAGAAGGAGGGGCUGUGCUUCGUCUGCCAAACUGUGGGUUUGAUUAAGGGCACCGGAGGAGAAGCCAGAACUGGAAACCUGUCUCUAGGAAGAUGGGUAGAUGAAAGAAAAUGCAAGAAAGAUAUUCAGGGGCAAGUGGGAUCAUUUCUGCAGAGGUGAAAAAUGAUUCUGCAUCCCAUUUAAUCCAAUCAUGCCCUGCUCCUAGAGAGGAAAGUGAAACACCCUCAGACUGAACACGUGGUCAAACUCAGAUGAAUGAAGCAGCCAGUUCACAGCAAAUUUACUUUUCAAAAGACUGGGAAAGAAGGGAAUUGGGGGAACUUUUUUUCUGUUUGUUGAGGAGGGAGAUUAUUUAUUAACUUGUUUAUUUUACUACCCAAUAUAUACCACACAUAGGACCCCAUGUGCAAAGAUUUCACAGCUUUAAGAACAUGAAAUAUUUUAAUGAAAGACUGUAGUUAACAUUUCAAAAAUGUAAGUUCAA
rnacentral:lncRNA from 10 species